AAUGAACGCUGGCGGCAUGCCUAAUACAUGCAAGUCGAACGAGAUCUUCGGAUCUAGUGGCGCACGGGUGCGUAACGCGUGGGAAUCUGCCCUUGGGUUCGGAAUAACGUCGGGAAACUGACGCUAAUACCGGAUGAUGACGUAAGUCCAAAGAUUUAUCGCCCAAGGAUGAGCCCGCGUAGGAUUAGCUAGUGGGUGAGGUAAAGGCUCACCAAGGCGACGAUCCUUAGCUGGUCUGAGAGGAUGAUCAGCCACACUGGGACUGAUACACGGCCCAGACUCCUACGGGAGGCAGCAGUAGGGAAUAUUGGACAAUGGGCGCAAGCCUGAUCCAGCAAUGCCGCGCGAGUGAUGAAGGCCUUAGGGUUGUAAAGCUCGUUUACCCGGGAUGAUAAUGACAGUACCGGGAGAAUAAGCCCCGGCUAACUCCGUGCCAGCAGCCGCCGCAG
rnacentral:rRNA from 1 species